UACGAAGGGUGCUAGCGUUGUUCGGAAUCACUGGGCGUAAAGCGCGCUUCGGCGGCUUUUCAAGUCAGGGGUGAAAUCCUUGGGCUCAACCCAAGAACUGCCUUUGAAACUGUAAAGCUGGAGUGUCGGAGGGGAUAGCGGAAUUCCUAAUGUAGUGGUGAAAUACGUAGAUAUUAGGAGGAACACCGGUGGCGAAGGCGGCUAUCUGGACGACAACUGACGCUGAGGCGCGAAAGCGUGGGGAUCAAACAGG
rnacentral:rRNA from 1 species